AGAGUUUGAUCAUGGCUCAGGAUGAACGCUGGCGGCGUGCUUAACACAUGCAAGUCGAGCGAAGCACUCUGCUUUGAUUCUUUCGGGAUGAAGAGCAUUGUGACUGAGCGGCGGACGGGUGAGUAACGCGUGGGUAACCUGCCUCAUACAGGGGGAUAACAGUUAGAAAUGGCUGCUAAUACCGCAUAAGACCACAGCACCGCAUGGUGCAGGGGUAAAAACUCCGGUGGUAUGAGAUGGACCCGCGUCUGAUUAGCUAGUUGGUGGGGUAACGGCCUACCAAGGCGACGAUACAUAGCCGACCUGAGAGGGUGAUCGGCCACACUGGGACUGAGACACGGCCCAGACUCCUACGGGAGGCAGCAGUAGGGAAUCUUCGGCAAUGGGGGCAACCCUGACCGAGCAACGCCGCGUGAGUGAAGAAGGUUUUCGGAUCGUAAAGCUCUGUUGUAAGUCAAGAACGGGUGUGAGAGUGGAAAGUUCACACUGUGACGGUAGCUUACCAGAAAGGGACGGCUAACUACGUGCCAGCAGCCGCGGUAAUACGUAGGUCCCGAGCGUUGUCCGGAUUUAUUGGGCGUAAAGCGAGCGCAGGCGGUUUGAUAAGUCUGAAGUUAAAGGCUGUGGCUCAACCAUAGUUCGCUUUGGAAACUGUCAAACUUGAGUGCAGAAGGGGAGAGUGGAAUUCCAUGUGUAGCGGUGAAAUGCGUAGAUAUAUGGAGGAACACCGGUGGCGAAAGCGGCUCUCUGGUCUGUAACUGACGCUGAGGCUCGAAAGCGUGGGGAGCGAACAGGAUUAGAUACCCUGGUAGUCCACGCCGUAAACGAUGAGUGCUAGGUGUUGGAUCCUUUCCGGGAUUCAGUGCCGCAGCUAACGCAUUAAGCACUCCGCCUGGGGAGUACGACCGCAAGGUUGAAACUCAAAGGAAUUGACGGGGGCCCGCACAAGCGGUGGAGCAUGUGGUUUAAUUCGAAGCAACGCGAAGAACCUUACCAGGUCUUGACAUCCCGAUGCUAUUUCUAGAGAUAGAAAGUUACUUCGGUACAUCGGUGACAGGUGGUGCAUGGUUGUCGUCAGCUCGUGUCGUGAGAUGUUGGGUUAAGUCCCGCAACGAGCGCAACCCCUAUUGUUAGUUGCCAUCAUUCAGUUGGGCACUCUAGCGAGACUGCCGGUAAUAAACCGGAGGAAGGUGGGGAUGACGUCAAAUCAUCAUGCCCCUUAUGACCUGGGCUACACACGUGCUACAAUGGUUGGUACAACGAGUUGCGAGUCGGUGACGGCGAGCUAAUCUCUUAAAGCCAAUCUCAGUUCGGAUUGUAGGCUGCAACUCGCCUACAUGAAGUCGGAAUCGCUAGUAAUCGCGGAUCAGCACGCCGCGGUGAAUACGUUCCCGGGCCUUGUACACACCGCCCGUCACACCACGAGAGUUUGUAACACCCGAAGUCGGUGAGGUAACCUUUUGGAGCCAGCCGCCUAAGGUGGGACAGAUGAUUGGGGUGAAGUCGUAACAAGGUA
rnacentral:rRNA from 1 species